GCAGGACAUGCAUUCCUCACACCAUACUUUUUGAAGGGGAUGAGGUAAACCUGGCCAAGCCGGUUAGUGCUGGGGUGGAGCCCAGCCACGGCCCUGAUCCAGAGGCUCUGUUACCUGGGGCAGCAGAAGUGAAUGAGAAGACAGCUGUAAAUCAUGUCCGGCCUGCUGAUGACAUUCUCCUCUCUCAGCUAAAGGACUGAGGAUGGUACAGCCCCUUGAGUGACUCUGGGCAGGGCUGUGAGAGGGAGCCCCUUAGCCAGUGUUUGGGAAGGAGGAAUUCAGAUCCUGGGAAAAACAGCAAGCAGCAGCAGGUGUGGAGUAAGCAGGGAGUGACCCGUCUGGGACAACUGCCUAGAAUAAACACUAUUGUCUGCCACAGGCUUUUCUGUGCCAGCCUGGGCCUGCUGAGCUGACCGUGUUUGAAGGGCUGGUCGUGGGCUAAGCUAGGCAAGCUGAGAUCAGUCCUGCAGGAACCUGAGGUCAUCACAGGAUGUGAAGACAGAGGUCAGGAGCUUGUGGGACCAGGAAUGAGGGAGAUCGAAAUGACCUUGAUAGCUACAAGUGGAGAUGGAUCUUUGAGCUAUCAGAUGAAAGGCUGUCUCGCAGACCCAUGCUGGAUUUUACAUAAAUAAGAAAUGUAAGUAUAACUUUGUUGUGCUAAGUCACUGAGCUUUUCGGGUUUGUUUGUU
rnacentral:lncRNA from 1 species